rnacentral:lncRNA from 1 species
UGAUGAAGAUGACGAUGAUGAUGAUGAAGAAGAAGAAAACCCAGAUUUGGAAAAACUGACAUCGCGUUCGCCGCGCCCGCCGCCGAUCUCGUUGCGGAAAUGAGGACAACUCAACAACAACUCAUUGCUGGUGUCAUCACCUAAAUCCUGCUCCAAAUUUUCUUUGGAAUUUAAAUUUUCCAAACUGGAGAAAAUUUUGGGAUCGGAACCGGCGGAAGCGGCCGAAGCUCCCGUGGUCGUGUUGCGCCGUUGGGUUCCCGUCGAGGAUCCGACGGAAACGGCUUCGAAAAAAAUGCUCUGAACGUCGAAAUGAGCGAAACUUUUGCGCCAAAUCCAAGAUUUUGGAGCUUCUGGAAGUUUGGGAUCUUCGGGAUCUUUGGGAUUGAGGAGUUUUUUGAAGAUGGAAUCGUCGGGUUUUAAACGGCGCCGGGGUUUUUCUUUCGGAGCUUGGGGUUGAUCCGAAUUUGGAUCGGGAUUUUGAUUGGAAUUUUGGGAAUUUUGGGGUUUUUUGGUUCGGAAUUCGUUGAGGAUUUCAUAAAAACUCUGCUCUGGGAUUCCUUGGAUGUCGAUGGAGGAGGUGCUGCCGUACUCGCGGAACAAUCCGGCGGAAUUCCCGGAAUUCCCGCGGAUUUCCGGGAUUUCUUCGGGAUCGCAUUCGCUCAAAGUGACUUCGCUGCUGCUCCUUUGUCUCAAAGGAAUUCCCAAAAAUCCUUCUUGGAAUUCCAGAUCUUUCCAAUGAGGGACCAAGCGGCGAUGGAAGGGUUUGAAUGGAGCUUGGGAAGGUUGGGAAUUGCGGGAAAUUCCGGAAUAUUCUUUGGAGCGCGGGGGCCACUCGGCCACGCGGGCGCGGACGCCCAUCUUGGGCACCGGGGGGAUCUCGGAGCGUUGGGAGGUCAUGGUCACCCAAAAGGGAAUUGGGGAGUUUGGAAGUUCUGGAGAUCCUGGAGGUCCAGGAGGUCCAAGAGGUCCAGGAGGUUCUGGAGGUCUGGGAGGUCCUGGAGGUCCAGAAGGUUCAGAAGAUCCAGAAGGUCAAGGAGGUCCUGGAGGUCCUGGAGGUUCAGAAGAUCCAGAAGGGUCAAGGAGGUUCAGGAGGUCCAGAAGAUCCAGGAGUUCCAGAGGACCUGGAGGUUCAGGAGGUUCAGGAGAUCAAGGAGGUUCAGAAGAUCCAGGAGAUCCAGAAGGUUCAGAAGGUCCAGGAGGUCAGGGAGGUUCAGAAGGUUCAGGAGAUCCAGAAGAUCCAGGAGGUGCAGGAGGUCAAGGAGAUUCAGAAAGUCCAGGAGGCCUUGGAAGUCCAGGAGGUGCUGGAGGUCCUGGAGGUUCAGAAGAUCCAGGAAAUCCAAGAGGUCCAGAGGUCCUGGAGGUCUUGGAAGUUCAGGAGAUCCAGGAGGUCCAAGAGUUCCAGAGGACCUGGAGGUUCAGAAUAUCCAGAAGAUCCAGAAGGGUCAAGGAGGCUCAGAAGAUCCAGAAGAUCCAGAAGGUCCAGGAGGUUCAGAAGGUCCAGGAGCUCAGGGAGGCUCAGAAGAUCCACAAGGCCCGGAGCUCCAAGAGUUCCAGAGGACCUGGAGGUUCAGGAGGUCCAGAAAGUCCAGAAGAUCCAGGAGGUUCAGAAGCUCCAGGAGAUCCAGAAGAUCCAGAAGGGUCAAGGAGGUUCAGGAGGUUCAGGAGGUCCAGGAGGUCAGGGAGGUUCAGAAGCUCCAGGAGAUGCUGAAGGUUCAGGAGAUCCAGAAGAUCCAGAAGGUCCAGAAAGUCCAGAAGAUCCAGAAGGUUCAGAAGAUCCAGGAGGUCCAGGAGGUCCUGGAGGUUCAGAAGGUCAAGGAGGUCCAGAAGCUCCAGAAGCUCCAGAAGGUCAGGGAGGUUCAGAAGGUUCAGGAGAUGCAGAAGGUGCAGGAGCUCAGGGAGGUUCAGGAGAUCCCCAGGGCCCGGAGCUCCAGGAGCUCAUGGCAGGAAGCGGCGGCGGCGGCGCAUGCUGGGAGGGCUGGGGGGAAAAAGGACAAAAAUUCAGGAUUUUAUCCCAAAAAUUGAGGGAAUUUAUCCCAAAAAUUGAGGGAAUUUUAGCCAAAAAUUUCAGGAUUUUAUCCAAAAAUUGAGGGAAUUUUAUCAAAAAAA